UGGAAAAGUUGCACACCGAUCCUGCAG
rnacentral:piRNA from 1 species